GGCCAGGUUACCGCGGCUCGGCCCCGAGUGGGCUGCGGCCGGGGGAGGGGCGAGAGAUACAUAUGUAUUUCUGUCUCCCUAGCACACCCCCUUCCCUCUAAGCGAUGGCUGAGAGGCGGUGCAUGCAGAUGGGGAGUAAGUUUCCUGAAGGGGAGGGUGGAUGCACGCGCGCGGCCCCGCGCUGCAAAUUUCCACCGGGGAGGGAGAGUGGCUGGAUGCGGAGAGUUUGGAGUUGCUUGCAGCGGAGGGCAGGAAGGGGAGCAGGGCCGGGAAAGGGGGCUGGCGGGCGCUAUAUCUGGGAGUAAGUUUCCAGGAACGGGAGAGCCUGCACGCUUGCUCGCUACUCUGCUCGCCCCUCAUCUCACCCCCCAGGCGAAGACUGGUCUUCUUGUCGGAUUGCCCAUGCACUUGUUGCAGAAACAGCCAAGGACAGUUUACUGGAAGUUAUGUCAUAAUGGAGGCUUCUCAGGUGGCUCAGUGGUAAAGAAUCCACCUGCAUAUGCAAGAGAAAAGGAGAUGCAGGUUCCAUCGCUGUGUCAGGAAGAUCCCCUGGAAGAGGACAUGGCAACCCACUCCAGUAUUCUUGUCUGGGAAAUCCCAUGGACAGAGGAGCUGGCGGGCUACAGUCCAUGGGGUCGCAGUGUCAAACACGACUGAGUGACUGAGCGUGCACACAGACACAUGUCAUAAUAGCUGAAAGCGAAGGUUAAUUUUUGUAUCCUUUAUUAUUUGACAUUAUGAGUAUUUUCCAUGUCUUUAAAAAAAUCUUCAUUAGGAAAUUUUUAAUAUCUGCACAGAACCCCUUCUUUUAUAAUCUGCUUGACCAUUCUAUUGUCAGAUACUUAGGUCAUUUCCCAUUAAGCUCUUAUAUAAGUAAUGGUGCAAUCUUUGUGCCGUAAUACUGUAUUACUAUUUUAAAAGUAUGGAAUGGGAAUGAUCAGAGUUGAAAGUAUUAUCAGUAUUGAUUGUUUUCAUGCAUAUGCCAGGUACGGAAAUAAAACUGUAGUCUUC
rnacentral:lncRNA from 1 species